rnacentral:rRNA from 1 species
GAUGAACGCUGGCGGCGUGCUUAACACAUGCAAGUCGAACGAAGCACUUUAUUUGAUUUCCUUCGGGACUGAUUAUUUUGUGACUGAGUGGCGGACGGGUGAGUAACGCGUGGGUAACCUGCCUUGUACAGGGGGAUAACAGUUUGAAACGGCUGCUAAUACCGCAUAAGCGCACGUCAUCGCAUGAUGCAGUGUGAAAAACUCCGGUGGUAUAAGAUGGACCCGCGUUGGAUUAGCUAGUUGGUGAGGUAACGGCCCACCAAGGCGACGAUCCAUAGCCGACCUGAGAGGCUGACCGGCCACAUUGGGACUGAGACACGGCCCAAACUCCUACGGGAGGCAGCAGUGGGGAAUAUUGCACAAUGGGCGAAAGCCUGAUGCAGCGACGCCGGGUGAGCGAAGAAGUAUUUCGGUAUGUAAAGCUCUAUCAGCAGGGAAGAUAAUGACGGUACCUGACUAAGAAGCACCGGCUAAAUACGUG